GCAUUGAGUUUACAGUCGCGCUUCAAAAUUAUUUUUGGAGACAAGCAAAGUUUGACAUCUUGCUUUGUAUUCUGCAUUGCUUCUGCCAAAUUCUCGACGUAAGGAUCUCUGACAAGACGAACAAAGGGGACCAUGUUUUUCUCGGCCCCCUCUCUAACAGACGGUGUGGCAAUGGGUUUAGAACCAGAAUCGUGUCCCAAACUCUCUUCAGCAAGCCGUUCCUCUUCGGGAGACGUCACAGAUUCUCCGUCGGGAGAAGCGAGACGCAGUUAUCACUUUGCGAAGACAUCUCUGAGGCGAAGCCGACAAUACCAGCACAAAGUGCUAGCACGAACUUCAACUUAAGAGGCUUACUGCCAAAGUUUACUGUGCAGGACACCUGAAAAGCAGAUCUGCCAGUGAGCACCGUCCCUUCCCAGAUCUGCCAGUGUUGGCCAGGCCGGCGCAGAACCGCCAAUGUUAC